UGGGGAAUCUUAGACAAUGGGCGCAAGCCUGAUCUAGCCAUGCCGCGUGAGCGAUGAAGGCCUUAGGGUUGUAAAGCUCUUUCAGAUGGGAAGAUAAUGACUGUACCAUCAGAAGAAGCCCCGUCUAACUCCGUGCCAGCAGCCGCGGUAAUACGGAGGGGGCUAGCGUUGUUCGGAAUUACUGGGCGUAAAGCGCACGUAGGGGGACUGGAAAGUCAGAGGUGAAAGCCCAGGGCUCAACCUUGGAACUGCCUUUGAAACUCCCAGUCUUGAGGUCGAGAGAGGUGAGUGGAAUUCCGAGUGUAGAGGUGAAAUUCGUAGAUAUGCGGAGGAACACCAGUGGCGAAGGCGGCUCACUGGCUCGAUACUGACGCUGAGGUGCGAAAGCGUGGGGAGCAAACA
rnacentral:rRNA from 1 species